GCUACAUUGUUCUUUGAAAACUGAAUACGACAAAUCUUUCUAGUCCGAAAUUUGAUUAAAGUAUCAAAUCAAAUCAAAUUUCAUAUAAUAUAGAUUCAAUAAAAAUAGCUAAUGGAUCAAAUACAUAAGUUACUAAGGGCUUAUGGUGGAUGCCUUGGGUCUGAAAGUCGAUGAAG
rnacentral:rRNA from 1 species